AAAAAAACCCUAAUUUUUAAUACCACUUCAACAUGUAAUUUAUCUUCAUUCAUCUGGCGCCACCAAAUCUCCCUCACAUCUGUAACCUUUAUUCAUCAAUUUGUUGAAAAUCGUUUAGUUGGAACCCUAAUUCGCUUCAUCUUCAUAAUCCCUCGGCUUCAUCUACAAAAUUUUCGGCUUCAUCUUCAAAAUUACGUAGAAUUGAUAACUUGAAUAGCGACUUCUUCCUCCCUAGCAUCGCCAAUUAACAGGUUGAAUCUGGGCUCAUAGCUGGACAGGAAUUUAGAAAAUAAAGGUAAGGGCUUUAUAUGAAAUUCGGAGAUUCUCCAUUGACCUACUAUUGCUUUUCAAGAAGUGGUGCUAGUACAGAUAUUCUUAAGGUAUCUUUUGAAUUAAAGCUGGGUAUCAAAAUGGAUUUGUUUCCUCUGUUAUAU